rnacentral:rRNA from 1 species
CAGGUGGUAGAAUCACUGGUGAAUAAGGGGUGGGCAAGUUCUGGUGUCAGCCGCCGCGGUAAAACCAGCACCUCGAGUGGUCAGGAGGUUUAUUGGGCGUAGAGCAUCCGUAGCCGGUUGCAUAAGUUUUCGGUUAAAUCUAUGCGCUUAACGUAUAGGCCGCCGAAGAUACUGUGCAGCUAGGGAGUGGGAGAGGUACGCGGUACUCGAUAGGAAGGGGUAAAAUCCUUUGAUCUAUUGAAGACCACCUGUGGCGAAGGCGGUGUACCAGGACACGUUCGACGGUGAGGGGUGAAAGCUGGGGGAGCAAACCGGAUUAGAUACCCGGGUAGUCCCAGCUGUAAACGAUGCAGACUCGGUGAUGCAUUGGCUUGUGGCCAAUGCAGUGCCGCAGGGAAGCCGUUAAGUCCGCCGCCUGGGAGUACGUACGCAAGUAUGAAACUUAAAGGAAUUGGCGGGGGAGCACCACAAGGGGUGAAGCCUGCGGUUCAAUUGGAGUCAACGCCGAA